UUGGUGCAUGCUUAGCCUUGAAGUCUUCCAGGCGCUUCCAUUAAAUCCUCACGCACUGAAGCCUCCUGAUAGAAUCUUUUCCUCUCUAGAUAUUGAUACCUUCGCUUUCAAGUCGUCAACAAAAACAAAACCAACUUGUUAGUGAUCAUUAAAGUAGCUAACAAUGGCAGCCUCCAAAAUUAACUUGAAGCUUCUUAUUGAUUCAAAACACAACAGAGUCGUCUUUGCUGAAGCAGGGAAAGACUUUGUAGAUUUCCUCCUUAGCCUGCUUGCUUUACCUGUGGGUACCGUCAUUCGGCUCCUCACAAAAUCAACCAUGAUUGGCAGCAUAGCAAAUAUUUACGGGAGCCUUGAAAAGCUGGAUGAAUCGUACAUGCAGCCUAACCAAAACAAGGAUUCCAUUUUGAAACCAACUAUAACAACCCAGGUCACCAAUCAAAAUUUCUUGCUUCCUGACACUAAAAAGCCUGAAAACCCGAAUUUAUACUAUUGCUCAAGCCAUCCAGGGUACGUGUCAGAUAUUCACAACUCUGUUUGUAGUCAUUGCAGGUCACAAUGCUAUACUCGUUAUAUGAAUCAAAAAGUCGAGUUUGUUGGUACGAAUGUCUCCGCCUCCACAGAUACAUCGGCUAGUGAUCAGGCCGGAGGUUACGUGAAGGGCCUGGUCACUUACAUGGUGACAGAUGAUUUGUCAGUGUCUCCAAUGUCAAUGGUGUCCGUUGUUGGUCUGCUAAACAAGAUCGAAAUCAAGGAUUUUAGUGUGCUUGAGGAGAAGGUUGUUGAAUUUGGGAUCGAUGAGGGUCUUGAGUUGUUGAAAGCUUCUCUUUUGUCAAAGAAUGCUCUCACUGCUGUUUUCCUUCCAAAGCUGAAUUGGAAAGACUUUGUAGAUUUCCUCCUUAGCCUGCUUGCUUUGCCUGUGGGUACCGUCAUUCGGCUACUCACAAAAUCAACCAUGACUGGCUGCAUAGCAACAAUUUACGGGAGCCUUGAAAAGCUGGAUGAAUCGUACCUGCAGCCUAACCAAAACAAGGAUUCCAUUUUAAAACCAAUUAUAAUAACCCGGGUCACCAAUCCAAUUUUCUUGCUUCCGGACACUAAAAAGCCUGAAAACCGGAAGUUAUACUAUGGCACAAGCCAUCCAGGGUACGUGUCAGAUAUUCACAACUCUGUUUGCAGUCAUUGCACAUCACAAGGCUAUGGUACUUGUAUGAGUCAAGAAGUCAAGUUUGUUGGUACAAAUGUCUCCGCCGCCACAGAUACACCAGCUAGUGAUCAGGGAGGUUACGUGAAGGUCCUGGUCACUUGCAUGGUGACAGAUGAUUUGUCAGUGUCUCCAAUGUCAAUGGUGUCCGUUGUUGGUCUGCUAAACAAGAUCGAUAUCAAGGAUUUUAGUGUGCUUGAGGAGGGGAUCAAUGAGGCUAUUGUAUUGUUGAAGGCUUCUCUUUUGUCAAAUGAGGCUCUGACUACUGUUUUCCGGAUAAAGCAGACGAUCAUAACUUCGCACAUUCAAGUGGUCAAGAAACCUAAAGCCAACUUGGUAGCAAUGCCAUCCUCCAAAAUGAGCUUGAAGCUUCUUAUUGAUUCAAAACACAACAAAGUCGUCUUUGCUGAAGCAGGGAAAGACUUUGUCGAUUUCCUCCUUACCCUGCUUGCUUUGCCUUUGGGUACUGUCAUUCAGCUCCUCACAAAAUCAACCAUGAUUGGCUGCAUAUCAAGUCUUUAUGGGAGCCUUGAAAAGCUGGAUGAAUCGUACCUGCAGCCUAACCAAAACAAGGAUUCCCUUUUGAAAUCAUCUAUAACAACCCAGGUCACCAAUCCAAAUUUCUUGCUUCCUGACACUAAAAAGCCUGAAAACCGGAAGUUAUAUCAAGAAGUCAAGUUUGUUGGUACGAAUGUCUCCGCCUCCACAGAUACACCAGCUAGUGAUCAGGACGGAGGUUACGUGAAGGGCCUGGUCACUUACAUGGUGACAGGUGAUUUGUCCGUCUCUCCAAUGUCAAUGGUGUCUGGUGUUGGUCUGCUAAACAAGUUCGAUAUCAAGGAUUUUGGUGUGCUUGAGGAGAAAGUUGUUGAAUUUGGGAUCAAUGAGGGUCUUGAAUUGUUGAAAGCUUCUCUUCUGUCGAAGGAUGCUCUCUCUGCUGUUCAAGUCUCAGCGUGUAUACUUGUUAUUCCUGCGAUGCCUUACCUGUCUAAUAGACUUGUAGGGUAUUCAAUGGAUCCGGGGAUUAAUCGUGAUGCGCGUAAGCUGCUAACAAUGUCAUCCUCCAAAAUCAGCUUGAAGCUUCUUAUUGAUUCAAAACACAACAAAGUCGUCUUUGCUGAAGCAGGGAAAGACUUGUCGAUUUCCUCCUUAGCCUGCUUGCUCUGCCUGUGGGUACCGUCAUUCGGCUCCUCACAAAAUCAACCAUGAUUGGCUGCAUAUCAAGUCUUUAUGGGAGCCUCGAAAAGCUGGAUGAAUCGUACCUGCAGCAUAACCAAAACAAGGGUUCCCUUUUGAAACCAACUAUAACAACCCAGGUCACCAAUCCAAAUUUCUUGCUUCCUGACACUAAAAACCCUGAAAACCGGAAGUUAUACUAUUGCUCAAGCCAUCCAGGGUACGUGUCAGAUAUUCAUAACUCUGUUUGUAGUCAUUGCAGAUCACAAGGCUAUGGUAAUCCCUGUUAUCUCAGUGAAGAAGUUAAGUUUGCUGACAUGAAUGAUUCCACUUCCACAGAUACGCCAACCAGUGACCAGGGAGGUUACGUGAAGGGCCUGGUCACUUACAUGGUGACAGGUGAUUUGUCCGUCUCUCCAAUGUCAAUGGUGUCUGGUGUUGGUAUGCUAAACAAGUUCAAUAUCAAGGAUUUUGGUGUUCUUGAGGAGAAAGUUGUUGAAUUUGGGAUCAAUGAGGGUCUUGAAUUGUUGAAAGCUUCUCUUUUGUCGAAGGAUGCUCUCUCUGCUGUUUUCCUUCCAAAGCUGAAUUAAGGACAGAGAUGGCGAGCCAGUAUCGAAUUAGAAAAAAAGGAGUUGAUGCGCGUUCUUCAAUUUCUAAAUUUACUAUGUCUGUGAGGAAGUAAUUAGAAAAUAAGUUGGAGAAGUUUAAUUUUGUUCUUGGACUGCAAUGAUGAUCAUUCAUCUUCCCUUUGAAGAUGCUUGACUUUUUCUUUUGUUUUUCUUCGUUGCUUUAUUAUGCUUUUCUUCUUUCAUUUAUCUUUCAUUGUUGCUUUAUUUUGAGUUUUGUGCAAUGAGAAUGCGAUGGAAUGAGUAGUUUCCCCUCCUCA